UACGUAGGGGGCAAGCGUUGUCCGGAUUUAUUGGGCGUAAAGAGCGUGUAGGCGGCCAAGCAGGUCCGCUGUGAAAACUCGAGGCUCAACCUCGAGACGUCGGUGGAAACCGUUUGGCUAGAGUCCGGAAGAGGAGAGUGGAAUUCCCGGUGUAGCGGUGAAAUGCGCAGAUAUCGGGAAGAACGCCCGUGGCGAAGGCGGCUCUCUGGGACGGUACUGACGCUGAGACGCGAAAGCGUGGGGAGCGAACAGG
rnacentral:rRNA from 1 species